rnacentral:rRNA from 1 species
GAUGAACGCUGGCGGCGUGCCUAAUACAUGCAAGUCGAGCGAACGGACGGGAAGCUUGCUUCUCUGAUGUUAGCGGCGGACGGGUGAGUAACACGUGGAUAACCUACCUAUAAGACUGGGAUAACUUCGGGAAACCGGAGCUAAUACCGGAUAAUAUUUUAAACCGCAUGGUUCAAAAGUGAAAGACGGUCUUGCUGUCACUUAUAGAUGGAUCCGCGCUGCAUUAGCUAGUUGGUAAGGUAACGGCUUACCAAGGCAACGAUGCAUAGCCGACCUGAGAGGGUGAUCGGCCACACUGGAACUGAGACACGGUCCAGACUCCUACGGGAGGCAGCAGUAGGGAAUCUUCCGCAAUGGGCGAAAGCCUGACGGAGCAACGCCGCGUGAGUGAUGAAGGUCUUCGGAUCGUAAAACUCUGUUAUUAGGGAAGAACAUAUGUGUAAGUAACUGUGCACAUCUUGACGGUACCUAAUCAGAAAGCCACGGCUAACUACGUG